GUUUUCCGACCCCACAACUUGCCAUAUUAAUAAAACUGUAGAAUCAUUACACAUUCCAAUCCACCCAAUUCAUGGGAAUAAACAAGCAAAGGAACAUAUAUAUAUAAGUAGUUUUGAUGUCUCGACAUCCCCAAAACACAUUGGUUACAAAACAGAACUUAAUGAUUACAACAAUAACCCACCGGUUACAAAACGGAAUAGUCAAAACAACACCAUUUCAAUAGCACUACCACCACCACCGUCCUUCACUGGACUGCUAAAGUCGGCUACUCUCGAGCCCAAAAUACCCUAAAAGCUCACAAGCUACGGACAGGAACAACUGAUGUGUCCAAACUGGCCACACCUAGAACAAAUGCAUAAAUUUCCCACUAGUGGUCUGGGAACUCGACUCUCCCGCGGCCCUCGAAAUCUGGCCUGCUUAUUUCUCAUAACAGUAUUGCCCUUGCCCGGGCGAAAAAGAUCGAACCCGACUAGGUUGCGAAACUCCUAAGGAAUCCCCCGGCUAGGUGCAGAAACGUUUAAGUUGACUUGACUGAUUACACCCCUAGCAUGUAAGUGGUUUUCAAAUACGUGACUGGUCCAAAGUCUGAACUAGUGAGGAUCCUAAUGACUGUUUCCCCAUCGAGCACUCGAUUGUUCCAACCCUUGGCUGACUAGAUGAUCCUGGUGGUGUAACCAUUGGUUAAACUACCAAUCCUGCCAUCUUCCUCUGCGGAAAAAUCGGAGACUUAUGGCCCAGCUGGUCACAUUUGAAACAAGUGAGAUCCCUCUACUUGAUCAUUUCCCGAGCCCAAACUCCAUACUGGAAAUGUAAAGCUAGACUGUGCUCUCUAAAACUGUUGUGGGUUAAAACCCCUCUGCCUCUUAAAAGGCCUACCAAUACCCCGAGUUACCGAAGUCGCCAAAAUGGCCUCCUCCCUACUCUGACCCAUGACUAAUACCGUUGCCUCUACAUGAGCCGCAGCUUCUACAAGGGCACUAUAACUUCUAUGCCAAGACCCGGCAAUCCUUUCGCGGAUAUCGUCACACAGCCUCCUCUCGAACUCCAAACAACACAGUUUCUCAGUCUCCACGACCUCCGGAGCAAAUCUCGACAGGUUAGCAAACCAUGCUUCAAAUUGUACCAAAGGUGUAGUACCUUGGCACAACUCCACAAACUAUUUCUGCAACUCUUCCCGUGUGGAAUGACGGAAAUUGUUAUAUCCUUGUCUAGACAUCCGAAUAAGGGUAACCCAAAGAUAUUAGUACAUUCACAAAUACGUCGAAGCUAACUCAUUCGCGUUCUCACAUAUUGGAUAAUAAUAAAUCACUCCACAUAAGCACAUAAUCACAUAAACACAUACGAAUUUCAUUUUCGGAGAAUGACCGUCCCGUGGCAUUGCUAGAGUUCCAAUUAGAAACGGCAGUGAUCAAGUGCCUUUCUAACAAGACUCCCAGGAACCCAUGGACCCGAUCAACAUCCUAGAAACUAAAUCACAUACUCAUAUAGUCACAAAAACAUGUUAUAAUAUAAGCACAUAAUCUCAUCCUUAAGUCUCUAACAAGCGAGACAAACCAAUUGUGGUACUAACCACUUCCCACGUACCCAAAGUAUUCAAACCCGGUACACUCUGAUACCAAGUUGUAAGGCCCGCCAAAAAAAUAUACCACAGAUGUGAUCCACAACAACAUAAAUAACAGUUACAUAAAUCAGAGUGUAAGUAAUCCUUUCAUUACAUUAAGUAGAAAUACAAAAGAGUUCAACAUAAGCGAAUUCCCUUUGGGCAUACAUCUUUCCAAGACAUUACUUGGUUACAACAAAAGAGAGUCAUAAGCUCAAUACAUGUAAAGCCCUUGGCUUGAAUAAACAUUUAAACAAUCAAACAACAAAUAACAUAAUAGAGUCUCUAGCUCCUAAGCCUUCUCAAGCUACGUCCUUGGAAGGAGCAUGACACUGGUACCGUGAAAACGUUCUUCCAAGUAGACUUUGACUGAAGCGAUCGCAAAGAGGUCCUUUUUGUUCAAUCCCAAAACGAGCAAUCACAGAAGUGAAAACACAUUCAAUAAGGGCAUGAAAACCCUAGAAAUCAAAAUCAAAGAGAGA